GUAUGCUCACUUCAGCAACACAUAUACUAAAAUCGGAACAGUACAGAGAAAACUAGCAUGGCCCCUGCACAAGGAUGACACGCAAAUUUGUGAAGCGGUCCAUACUUUU